GACGAACGCUGGCGGCGUGCUUAACACAUGCAAGUCGAACGAAGUGGCGAACGGGUGAGUAACGCGUAAUCAAACUGCCCUUCAGAGGGGGACAACAGUUGGAAACGACAGCUAAUACCGCAUACUGAAGGAGGGGAUUGCGUGUGAUUAGCUAGUUGGAGAGGUAACGGCCCACCAAGGCGCUGAUCAGUAGCCGGUCGGAGAGGAUGAACGGCCACAUUGGGACUGAGACACGGCCCAGACUCCUACGGGAGGCAGCAGUGGGGAAUCUUCCGCAAUGGACGAAAGUCUGACGGAGCAACGCCGCGUGAGUGAUGACGGCCUUCGGGUUGUAAAGCUCUGUUAAUCGGGACGCGGUACCGGAAUAGAAAGCCACGGCUAACUACGUGCCAGCAGCCGGGUAAUAC
rnacentral:rRNA from 1 species